GAUGAACGCUAGCGGCAGGCUUAAUACAUGCAAGUCAAGGGGGUAGCAAUACAACCGGCGCACGGGUGAGUAACGCGUACACAACAUGCCAUAUACUGGGGUAUAGCUUUGGGAAACUGAAGGUAAUCCCCCAUAACAUUGCGAGAGGGCAUCUGAUUGCAAUUAAAGUUUCGGCGGUAUAUGAUUGGUGUGCGUUUGAUUAGCUAGUUGGUAGGGUAACGGCCUACCAAGGCGACGAUCAAUAGCUGGCGUGAGAGCGCGACCAGCCACACUGGAACUGAGACACGGUCCAGACUCCUACGGGAGGCAGCAGUAGGGAAUAUUGGACAAUGGAGGAAACUCUGAUCCAGCCAUGCCGCGUGAUAGAUGAAGGCCCUCUGGGUUGUAAAUAUCUUUUAUCUGGGAAGAAACAAUCUUAUUCUUAAGAUCUUGACGGUACCAGAGGAAUAAGCACCGGCUAACUCCGUGCCAGCAGCCGCGGUAAU
rnacentral:rRNA from 1 species